AGAUUGAACGCUGGCGGCAUGCCUUACACAUGCAAGUCGAACGGCAGCACGGGAGCAAUCCUGGUGGCGAGUGGCGAACGGGUGAGUAAUAUAUCGGAACGUGCCCAGCCGUGGGGGAUAACGUAGAGAAAUUUACGCUAAUACCGCAUACGAUCCAAGGAUGAAAGCGGGGGACCGUAAGGCCUCGCGCGACUGGGAGCGGCUGAUAUCAGAUUAGCUUGGUUGGUGAGGUAAAAGCUCACCAAGGCGACGAUCUGUAGCUGGUUUGAGAGAACGACCAGCCACACUGGGACUGAGACACGGCCCAGACUCCUACGGGAGCAGCAGUGGGGAAUUUUGGACAAGUGGGACGAAAGCC
rnacentral:rRNA from 1 species